rnacentral:rRNA from 1 species
UACAGAGACUGCAAGCGUUAUUCGGAUUCACUGGGCGUAAAGGGUGCGCAGGCGGCCAAGUGUGUCAGGUGUGAAAUCCCGAGGCUUAACCUCGGAACUGCGCCUGAAACUACUUGGCUAGAGUACUAAAGAGGGUCGCGGAAUUCCCGGUGUAGAGGUGAAAUGCGCAGAUAUCGGGAGGAACACCGGUGGCGAAGGCGGUUCUCUGGGCCUUACCUGACGCUGAGGAGCGAAAGCGUGGGGAGCGAACAGG